rnacentral:rRNA from 1 species
GAUGAACGCUAGCGGCAGGCUUAACACAUGCAAGUCGAGGGGUAUUGGUUUUCGGACCAAGAGACCGGCGCACGGGUGCGUAACGCGUAUGCAAUCUACCUUUUGCAGAGGGAUAGCCCAGAGAAAUUUGGAUUAAUACCUCAUAGUAUAGUACUUUGGCAUCAAGGAACUAUUAAAGUCACAACGGCAAAAGAUGAGCAUGCGUCCCAUUAGCUAGUUGGUAAGGUAACGGCUUACCAAGGCUACGAUGGGUAGGGGUCCUGAGAGGGAGAUCCCCCACACUGGUACUGAGACACGGACCAGACUCCUACGGGAGGCAGCAGUGAGGAAUAUUGGACAAUGGGCGCAAGCCUGAUCCAGCCAUGCCGCGUGCAGGAAUAAGGUCCUAUGGAUUGUAAACUGCUUUUAUACAGGAAGAAACACACCCUCGUGAGGGUACUUGACGGUACUGUAUGAAUAAGGACCGGCUAACGUCCGUGCCAGCAGCCG